ensembl:lncRNA
CUGUCGGGUAUGGAGAAUCUGUCUCCACACGUGGAAGAAGCUCGUUGCACCCCCAGUGCCUGGGGUCCUGGACUUGGUCGUUGUUUUUCCCAUCGGUUGCUCUAGUAGAGGCUAGUUCCUCGGGCAUCCUUUACAGAAGACAGUUGGGUGUUCACCUCCCCUUGGCUGACGCCCCAGGGCUGGAGCCCCUACCUGCCAGCACCAGGCGUGCACGUCCUGACCCCAACCAGCCCUCGCCCCGCCCUGUCCUAGGGGUGGAGCACGGUGCUUGGGGACACGCGUGGUGGUUCUAUCCCUGUAGCUGCCGCUCCGCUGAAGCUCAAAGAUCGGUUGAUGGAUCGGCCUCUCCCACUGGCUCAGUUUCCUUACCACAGGCCGCACGUAGACAGGCUGGAAGCCACCAUAUCUGCAGCCUGACCACCGCCAGUUCCAGAGCCACAAGGACGAAGAUGAGGCUGUGUCCUCGGGGCCAGCUCAGUGGCAGGGCAGGGGGAGACCCCAGGCGUGUGCUGCGAUUUUUUGCAGGCUGCCCCUGGCAGGGGUGGGGGGGGCCGUCCAGCGGGGGCUCCCUCAUGUUGCCAUCCUCGCAGGCACCCCUCUCUCCCUGCUCCCCCGCCCCCACGUCAGGAGGACAUCUGUGAUGUGGGCGGUGGCUGGGCGCCACCUGCUGGAACAGUGCACGAGGUGUCCCAGAGCCAAGCCUGAGACGAGUGAAGGGUCCAAGAAGGGCCUGAGUCCAUCGGUGCUUUGAGCCGUAAACCAGGGCACCACGGGUCCCAGUUGUCUGUGGAGCUGAGUAGCCUCUGCUGCAGAGGCCCAUUAGCCCGCAAACCCUCUACUCUCUGCCUUUGCAAAAACCUAGUUCGCCCCUGCUUUAAACAAGCAUUUAUCACACGGCUCACAGAGAAUGGUAAACGGGCAGACCGUCAGGUUGGGACGGUCUUAGCCACCCCCACCCUCCACUGUCCCUGUGCUUGCUGGGGAGCAAGGAUCCGGUCACUUCAGGGGCCAGACAUGGAGUGACUCUUUGCCACCCAGGACAGUAGAGGCUGAGUGACUCCUGACAUCAGGCUGCCCUGCAGGUUUGGGUGUGGGGAGGGACUGACCUCUCUGCAGUCAUGUUCCAACUGUCCAGUCCUCAGGCAGGGCUGGUGUGACCUCCCACCCUGUGACGGUGGGUUUAAUCCUCACGAGGGUCUCAACAGCGUAGUCAGGCGUGUUAGCCUUCAGCGACUGCUUAGUCCUUGUGAGCGGUCCUACAGUCACCUCGCCAUCAAGAGACGGACUUACAUGUGACCCAGCAAUGCCACUCCUGGGCAUAUGGGCAGAGAAAACUCUUAAUUCAAAAAGAUACCUGCAUGCCAGUGUUCAUAGCAGCCCUACUCACAGUAGCUGAGACAUGGAAACAACUAAACGCCCAUCGACAGAGGAAUGGAUACAGAAAACGUGGUGUAUAUAUACUCGGCCACAAAAAAGAACGACAUGCCAUUUGCAGCAACGUGGAUGGACCUAGAGAUGAUCACACUGAAGGUCAGACAGAGAAAGACAAGUACCAGAAGAUGUGGACGCUGAAAUACGGCACAAGCGAACCUGUCUGUGAAACAGGAGCGGACUCAGCCGCACAGGGAACAGGCUGGCGGUUGCCAAGGGGGAGGGUGUUGGGAGACGGCCGGAGCGGGGCUUGGGGCCAGCAGAUGGACGCUCCAAUAGAGAGUGGCUAGACAGCAAGGUCCUCCUGUACAGGACGGAGAACUGUAGUCAGUAUCCGAUGAUGAAUCAUCAUGGAAGAGAGUAUUUUAAAAAAGAAUAUUAAAAGAAAAGAAU